rnacentral:tRNA from 1 species
AUCCCUGCAGCGCAAUGGACAACGCAUUGGACUUCUAAUCCAAAAGUCGUGGUUUCGAAUCCCACCUGGGAUG